GUGCCAGCAGCCGCGGUAAGACAGGGGGCCCAAGCGUUAAUCGGAAUUACUGGGCUUAAAGGGUGCGUAGGCGGAUCGCUAAGCGCUUCGUGAAAUCCCACGGCUCAACCGUGGAACCGCGGGGCGAACUGGCGAUCUUGAGGCAAGUAGGGGCGGGCAGAACAGUCGGUGGAGCGGUGAAAUGCGUAGAUAUCGACUGGAAUGCCGAUGGUGAAGACGGCCCGCUGGGCUUGUCCUGACGCUGAGGCACGAAAGCGUGGGGAGCAAACAGGAUUAGAAACCCCCGUAGUCC
rnacentral:rRNA from 1 species